rnacentral:lncRNA from 1 species
AUGGCGGCGGCAGGGCUCGCGGCGGCAGCCACCCCCGGUUCCGGCGCGGGCGGACCUAAAGGUGGAGCUGGCCGGAUCAGCGUCGGCGUCGAGUUGGGCGCACGGGAGAAGGCGUCGAUCGAUGGUGCAUGUAGGCGGCGGGGAUGGCGUUGGCAGAGGGCGCGAAGGCGGUUGUGGUGGUCCCUACGCGGCGACGACGUGGUGCUCGGCGGCGACGGCAGCGGUCUCCCUCAGAUCUGCGCCUCUUGGCCGGAUCUGGAAGGUGGCCGGUGGUGGUGGUCGGCGACGGCGGCUGACUUGCGACGGCUGGCGACGGCAGUUGGCGACGGUAGCGAUGGUGGUGGUCGCGGCAGUUGGCAGCGACGGUGUCGGCUGACGACGCCGAAGGAGGACUUGGCGGCGACGUGGCAGACAGCGACAGCGAAGCGGCCGUUGGCAGUGGCGGCUGUUCGCGGAGGUGGUGGCUGGCGUUGGUGGCAGCGGCGACAGUGGUUGACUUGCGGCGGUUGUGACUGUGGAGGCGUUGGCGAUGUCGGCGGAUGUGGGUCGCUGGUGGCAGCAAGUGGAGGUGCGCGGUGAGGAUGGCGAC